ACUCCGGGAAACCGGGGCUAAUACCGGAUGGUUGUCUGAACCGCAUGGUUCAGACAUAAAAGGUGGCUUCGGCUACCACUUACAGAUGGACCCGCGGCGCAUUAGCUAGUUGGUGAGGUAACGGCUCACCAAGGCGACGAUGCGUAGCCGACCUGAGAGGGUGAUCGGCCACACUGGGACUGAGACACGGCCCAGACUCCUACGGGAGGCAGCAGUAGGGAAUCUUCCGCAAUGGACGAAAGUCUGACGGAGCAACGCCGCGUGAGUGAUGAAGGUUUUCGGAUCGUAAAGCUCUGUUGUUAGGGAAGAACAAGUGCCGUUCAAAUAGGGCGGCACCUUGACGGUACCUAACCAGAAAGCCACGGCUAACUACGUGCCAGCAGCCGCGGUAAUACGUAGGUGGCAAGCGUUGUCCGGAAUUAUUGGGCGUAAAGGGCUCGCAGGCGGUUUCUUAAGUCUGAUGUGAAAGCCCCCGGCUCAACCGGGGAGGGUCAUUGGAAACUGGGGAACUUGAGUGCAGAAGAGGAGAGUGGAAUUCCACGUGUAGCGGUGAAAUGCGUAGAGAUGUGGAGGAACACC
rnacentral:rRNA from 1 species